rnacentral:rRNA from 1 species
AUGGCCGCGGGAUUCAGGCCUAACACAUGCAAGUCGAGCGGAUGAAGGGAGCUUGCUCUCUGAUUCAGCGGCGGACGGGUGAGUAAUGCCUAGGAAUCUGCCUGGGUAGUGGGGGACAACGUUUCGAAAGGAACGCUAAUACCGCAUACGUCCUACGGGAGAAAGCAGGGGACCUUCGGGCCUUGCGCUAUCAGAUGAGCCUAAGUCGGAUUAACUAGUUGGUGAAGUAACGGCUCACCAAGGCGACCAUCCGUAACUGGUCUGAAAAGAUGAUCAAUCACACUGGAACUGAAACACGGUCCAGACUCCUACCGGAGGCAGCAGUGGGGAAUAUUGGACAAUGGGCGAAAGCCUGAUCCAGCCAUGCCGCGUGUGUGAAGAAAGUCUUCCGAUUGUAAACACUUUAAGUUGGGAGGAAGGGCAGUAAGCCAAUACCUUGCUGUUUUGACNUUACCGACAGAAUAAACACCGGCUAAUCUGUGCCACAGCCGCGGUAAUACAGAAGGUGC